rnacentral:rRNA from 1 species
GACGAACGCUGGCGGCGUGCCUAAUACAUGCAAGUCGAACGAAAGCGACCGGUGCUUGCACUGUUCAAGCUAGGGGCGCACGGGUGAGUAACACGUGGGUAACCUGCCUAUCAGAGGGGGAUAACAUCGGGAAACGGGCGCUAAAACCGCAUAAGCUUUUGAGCCGCAGGGGGGGAAGGGGAAAAGCGGCGGAAGGUGCUGCUGUCGCGGGGUCUCGGGGUGCUUGAGGUGGUUGGGGGGGUAACGGCUUACCAAGGUAGCGAUGCAUAGCCGACCUGAGGGGGGGAUCGGCCACAUUGGAACUGAGACACGGCCCAAGCUCCUACGGGAGGCAGCAGUAGGGAAUCGUCCGCAAUGGACGCAAGUCUGACGGAGCAACGCCGCGUGAGUGAAGAAGGUUUUCGGAUCGUAAAACUCUGUUGUUAGAGAAGAACAAGUGCUAGAGUAACUGUUGGCGCCUUGACGGUAACUAACCAGAAAGCCACGGCUAACUACGUG